CCAAAGUAAUAGAUUGUAUACUACAAAGCUUCCAUAACCCUAACUAAUAAACUUAGCUACUCAUGAAUAAAACAGAAAUCACAAUAGAAUUAUUCAUCAUACCAAAAAGUAGAAGACGAUCUUGGUAUGCGAAUAGUGAAAAUAAGAGAGAAGAAACAUUUUCUCUCUAUCUCCCCAAGCUAAGCCGCCACUCUCCUUUCAAAACCUAAUACAGAAUAAUUCAAUAAUGAAUAAAAAUUCAGCAUUAAGCCUUUUAAUAAUCCUUUCUCUCAUAAUUGCCUUCUAAGUCCCUAAACUAAUUAUAAAUGACAAACUAGUCUUGGAUAUAGUUUCUAGGCGCCAUAUUUGGUCCAGACUGCUACUCUCUCUUGUGUCAUAUGCAAUCCACAUUCCAUAGUCCCACUAUGUCUUCAUCUACCUCAUUAAUACCUGAAAUCAUGCUAAUCAAAUCGGUUAGCUCAAUUACACAGAAGUAGAGUAAAAACAUAAGAAACUAGGCAUUUUGUUCUCUAAACUUAGCUAAAACAUGAAUAAGUUAUGGUGCUUAGGCGUAUAAAUACACCCAAGAUCACCACCCAACACUUAAAGCUUUGUUCGUCCUCGAACAACAUAUCCAUUUAUGCAUACUACACAAGCCUUAGCACCCACAAAGGAAGACAAGAUGCUCAAAUAGGCUCACACAACAAUUAUGAACAAGAAGUAGAUUCAGGAAUCAUUUCUAGAGACAACCUACCCUCAAGAAUAGACUCAUUAAGUUGGCAAUUUCAUGCAUACCAUUUAAGGAAAGAAAUCAUAUAAAUUACCCAACCUUCAUUAACCAUGUGCCCUCACAACAAGAAAGUUACCUAUAAUCACUCUCAAUCAUGCAAUUUCUAACAAAAUGGGUACAAGAAUCAAGUUGCGCUCACUCUCACAAAGAAUUUUCAAAUUACAACUGAUGACCAUAUGCUUGCCCUUAGUGUAAUACUUCACUAAUAUCCGAAUGCUAAGAUUAGGAUCAAAUAGGUCUUUUACGGGUUGUAAUGCAGGCUAAAGGAUGGGUAGGAACAAUUUUGGCUAGAAAUACUGACUAUCUUCCCUAAGCACUUUAAUACACUACAUUAUGCAAUUAAGACCAAUCUCUAACAACCAACUUCCACUUCUGCUAUCUUCACAGAUUGUUUUACACCCCAAUUCAUUAAGCUCAAUUAAUAACACUAUGGUGGGAGUAUGCAACCCUUUCAAAUAUAUUUUUUUACACCCUUUUCACGUUACGCACCCCUAUAAUAGCCACCCUCAACUUAAGUGAUUUGCCUUAGUUGAGGUGCACAAUGUCCAAGAAGGACCAGGGCCAAAACAGGUUCAUUGUAACAUGUCUAGGAUAAAAUUUAGAACUUUUUUUUACAAUUUUUGCUACUCCCAACCAUAUCAAUUUCACACGCUAAUAACUAGACUUUGGGGCAUCAAUUUCACCUUUUUCCUCUAAUUGUCAAACUCCUAAUUCAAAUUGAUUUUACAUUAAAGCGCUUAGGAGCUUUUGGAUCAAAUUACGAUCUAUUAAAGAAUAGAAUAGGCUAUCUAUGAGGCUAACAGAAGAACAAACUAAAGGCUCAACGGGGCUAGCUAAGAUAAUGUACAAAGGUAGGUCAAAAAAAGGUAUGGACAAUGGCUAUAAAAAAUGCCUAAAUCAUCUCCUAAACUCACAAUCUUUAUUUUGCUGUGCACACACACCAGGAAAGUUCUAGCAUCAGUUGCAAUAAGGAAUAUACAACAUUCUUACUCACUCAUGGCAUAUGGUCAACUCAAUUAGGAGCAUUAUAGAUUCUCGACCAAACAAUUAUAUGAAUUCAAAUAAAACCAACAAUCACAACAAGAGUCACAACUAGAGCCUAGGUGUUUCAAAUAUAAUGAUCCAUCACAUACUUAUGUUAUAAUGUCAUGUGAUCCAAAAGAACAGUUACAUGCAAUUAAAUGACUAAUUUUCUCUUAAGACGAUCGUCAUCUAUCCAUUAUUGAGAAAAACACCUCAUUAUGACUAAAUAGAAUAAACAUCUAACAAGAAACAAAAUAAACAAAAUAACUAAUCCUAUCACAGAAGAAUGCUAAGGAGAAGGUACUAUUUUCGUACAAAACAAGUAGCAAAGUAACCAGCCACCCCACACUCAAGCUUAGCACUUUCCCCAACGCAAAUAACAAGAUAAAGAACCUGGCUAGUAGUACUCCUCAUCCACAUUAGGAGUUAUGCCACCUGCAUUGAGAUCAUCAUCAAAGCUAUUUUUCCUAUGUUCAUCAUAUCAUCCACGUUAUCCACACAUAAUGAAGCUAACUACAAUCAAGAUAAAGGUGGUGAAGUCACCGCCCCACACUUAAUUUGUUAUUAUAAACCAAUUAAAUGUUAUUAUCGGGGGUACUCAGACUUCGCCGACAUACACUUUGGUAUGGUGUACCUACAUUAUUCACAAUAUAAUUCACUCACUUCAAUUCCCCCAAUUCUAUUUCAAUGAAGCACUUUUUAAACAGAAUCAUGCUCUACACUUUCAACCAUACCAAAAUAUACAAAACAUUAUCACUUUCACAAUAUCGCCAUGGCAAGAAUUUAGUUCGUAAUCCUUAAGAAAUCAAUUAACUAUAACAUAGAGUCACAAUAACUAAGGCUUAAAAAAGUAAAAGUUACCUCGAAGAUGGAAGAUUAGUGAAGGACAAAGAGAAUGGUGAGAUUUAAUAUUGGAUGGCUUAAGGGUGAAAUAAGGAUGAAUUUGGGCUUUUAGGGUGUGAAGUCUAUUUAAAGAAUGAAAAUCUGGGUCGAGUUGAUCCAAGUUAAAGUUGGAAGUUGGGUUUUAGGCUUAUUUGGACUAAGUGUGCGAUGCACAUCUUAUCGUAUGUCUCAAAGUGUGCAUCGCAUACAUUAUCGCACAGUUGGGACAGUGAGCCUAUGCGGAGAAGUGGGUGACGCACUACCUAUCACAGACAUCAAGGUGUGCGUUACAUAAGGAUCGCAGACUUAAGGCAGUGGGCAUAUGCAGAUAGGUGUGCGACGCAUAUCUUAUCGCACAUGUUAAAGUGUGUGACGCAUAAGUUAUCACACGCAUCAAGGUGUGUAGCGCAUUGUGCAUCGCAUAGUUGGUCCAGUGAGCAUGUGCAAUGGGAUGUGUGGCACACUCUUGGUCAUACGCAUAAAGGUGUACGAUGUACACAUGCCCUCGUUUUGCCUGGUGUGAAGCAAUGCACCUAUGCUAAGUGCUAAAUGAUGCCCUUACAAAGAUUCAAGUGAAAUUGAGCGCCACACCCAAUAGUACACUUAAAAUUCGACAAUAUGCACAAUAUUUUUCAUAUGAGGCAGUCGGAAAGGUCCAUACCGCGGGGGCUUUGCCCUCUCACCCCGAUCGAGGUCAGUGGUGGGCUUUGGGAUCGGGCCUAAUGGCUCGAUCCCUACGUUACCACCACAGACCUCAUUAAAAGUCACAAAAUAAAGUUGCACCGUAAAACUUUUGGGUCAGAUUAACAUAAUUCGAGGCAUGACUCUAAUGCGAAUCAUACUUGAGCAUUACACAUUUGACCACUCCAACUUACCUGUAAUGUUCCCAUCACUCCUAAACUUACCACCAUUGAUAUAGCUCAAUUCCAAAUCAAAUUUGGUACUAAUAUCCUCCUUAGUACUUCAUGAACCUACACUUACUCAAAAAUAACAAAAAUGAUUAGAAGAAUGGGUUGCCUCCCACCAAGCGCCGUAGUUUCAGUCAUGGCUCGAAUCUUCUUUUUGUAUUUUUGUUUAACAUGAUAAAGUGAAAAUAAAAUCAUGGGUUGACUUCUAUGUAGCGCCUGAUUUAAUGUUGUGACACGACUUGAUUAUCUUGACUACUCAGACUUCAUCAAGAUACAUCGAUAAUACCAUUUGUACCUCAUUUAUUGGAUCAAGACAAUGCUUUAUUCCUAGUUCAACUACUUUGAAGUCAUUCACAUCCUUGCUUGCAAGUUCAACCAAACCAGCUAUGGUCUCCACAACAUACCUAUCCUUAAUAGGUACAUCUCGCUCAUCUUCAUAGAUAACAACAAUAAUCGAGAAGACACUCAUCUUCUUUGUUGUUUCAUAGACCGACAUACAUCAAAACUAACUUCUUUCUCAUUGAGCCUACAUUUUAGCUCAUUCAGCUCCAUGUCAACUAACACUCUCCCAGUUGCUAUGAAUGGCCUACCCAAAAUUAUAGGUACUGGAAAGUCUACUUCACAAUCAAGAAUUACAAUGUCAGUAGGAAAUAUAAAAUCUACAACUUUUACAAGUACAUCAUGUAGAAUCCUAAUCGGCCUUUUUACCGAUCUAUCCACUAUUAGAAGUUAUAUAUUGGUGGGCGUAGGAUCUCCCAAACCUAGUUUCUUAAAAACCAUCAAUGGUAUAAGAUUUAUAGUUUCCCCAAGAUCAUAAAGGGCCUUUUUAAACUUCAGAAAUCUAAUCGUACAUGGAGUAGUAAGUGCUCUCGGAUCAGCUCUCUUCUGGACAAUAGAUCUUGUAGCAAUAACACUACAAUGAUGAAGAUUCUCUACCGUUUUAUAGCUUACCGUAAUUUUCUUUGUUAGCAGGUCUUUCAUAAACUUAGCAUAUCCGGGCAUCUGUUCCAGUGCUUUAACUCAGGGCACAUUCACUGUCAACUGCUUCAACAUAGCCAUGAAUUUUCUAAACUUGCCAUCAUUUUAUUUCUUCUUUAACUGUUGUGGAAAUGGGGGUGGUGGCCUUGGGAUUUCAGUUGGAGCAAUUUUUACCUUUUUUCUUAUGCGUUGCUCCACAUCACUAACAUGUUUCGGCUUAGUUAGUUGUUCCACUUCCGCACUCUUUUUUUCUGAACCUACCAACUCCAUAGGCACCACUGAAGAUUCAUCAACCAUCUCCCAUUCUAUUUUGACUGCAUAGUAUGAGAGGAUGCUUCCAAUCUUGGACUAGAUAACAUAUUACCGCUCCUAGUAGUAAUGUCCAUACACGAUCCAUCAGUCCUCGGAUUCUGCACUGUAUCACUUAGUAGAGUCUCAUUCUGUCUUUAGUUGAAUGCUGCGGAUAAUUGGCUCAUCUGCUGCUCCAGUUGUUUAAUAGCAAUUGAGUGCGAGUUUACUAGUUGACUCAUGAAAGAUAUGUCACUAUUCAUAGUAAUCACCCCAGAAUUGGUCGCCUCAACUCCCUUUAAUAGUUUUUCCAUCAUGUCCUUCAUGGAUAUUUUGCUUGAACUGGUGGAAGCAUUAUCACGGUUUCCAGGAGGUACAUAUAUUCUACUCCUGUCACUUUUAUUCUUCCAAUCUCCUUGAUGGUUCCAACCUUGGUUUCCUUGACCACCGGUCCAGAAACCCCCCUGGUUAUGCAAGUAGUUAGCCUCUUCCUCAGUGUUUGAUUCAACUCCCUUACUAUGGGACCCCAUAACUUUUACCUUUUCUAUAUUCCCUGCUAGUACAUAUUUCGUAAGCAGAUCCACCUGGGUUUUAUGUGAGCCAUAUCCUAAUCACGCUUCUCUUCUCUCCUACGCUACUCUGCUGAUAUUAUACUAGACCCAGUAUUACUUGCUACCACAGAAGCUCUAGUAUGCCAAGCUCUACUUGUCUUAGUCAUUCUUUCUAACAUGUCUGCAGCCUUAGUAAAGGUGAGCUCCAUAAAAGCUCCUUCUACAGCAUUAUCCACUAUUGGCUUUGUAAGUGAGUUCAAAGCUCUAUAGAAUAUUUCCAUCAAGUGUUCGUAAGUCAUCUUAUAGUUUGGGCAUUGAGUCAACUUUCUUUUAAACCUCGCCCAAGUCUCAUGCAAAGCUUCAUUGGCCAAUUGCCUAAAGUUGUUGAUCUCAUCACUCAAUUGUAACAUUCUGGAGGGCGAAAAUAACCUUUCUAGGAAAGCUCCUUUCAAUUGCCUCCAGUUUUAUUAUAGAAUCAGGAGUCAGCUCAUUUAAUUAUAUCGUUGCCUCUCCAGACAGAGACAAUGGGAACAAUCUUACAUGAAUAGCAUUUUGUCCUACUCUAGGAUUAUCAAAUGACUUACAAAUACUGAUGAAAUUCACCAAAUGUAGAUUUGUAUCAUCACCAGGUAAUCCACCAAAUAGUCCUUUUAGAUUCAGUAGUUGGAUCAUAGUACUAUUGAUUUUUAAUUUCACCCCAGGAGCUAGUGGUGGUAGAAUGAUUGCCCCUGUAGAUCCAGUUCCAUCUAAAUCAUCCUCAUCGUUGUCAACAUUAAACUGUGCAGCUUGGCAGCCAGGUCUUCCUUUGAAUAAACGAUUUCAAUUUACAGGUUCAACUACCCCUGCUGCACGCCUCGUAUUAGCCGGGUUAAUUAAAUCAUCAUCUCCCAGGUCCUCUUCAUCUAGAUUAGGUACCCAACCUGGGCUAUCUGUAUUCUAUAGAUUUAAUUAAGCAUUAGCCAAAGCGGCUAAUCUUUUAGCUUCCUGUUGGUUAGCCAUUCUUUCAAUAAGAUGAGGUUCAGGAUUGAAGGGUAAUAAUGGUUCUUCUAAACUUCUGGUUCAUGGCAUAAACAACAAUGAGCCUAUAAUGAACAAAAACAACAAAUAAAUAUAAAAUCAGGAAACUUGACUAAUAGUCAAUUAACACAUAUAAACUCAAUCGACAACCGUAUUGCCCGGCAAUGGCGCCGAAAUUUGAUACGCCCAAAUUACACCUCUCUUACGAGAGAGUAAGCGGUCGUUGUCAAAUAUGUAACCCAACUAGGUUGGGGUCGAAUACCACAGGGAAUAUGGUGUUAAUUAAGUUGUAUGCAAAUUAGUUGACUUUUAAUCGUUCGUUUCCGUAAAAUAAAUAGGGGGAUUUUAUUUAGUUCACAAAUUAAUGGUUUCGAUUUAACAAGAUGAAAUACGUGUAGUAGUAUUAAAAUUCAGAGAAAUAGCAAGCUAGGGUUAUGUUUACCUUGUAGUUUUCAAUACUUUCUAACUAUGGGCUUUUCGAAUUCAUACAUGCAUCAUGCUUACAGAGAAACAUAUUGUAUUUAAUAACAUAAUACUAAUGUUUCUCAACCAUCAAGGACUAAUUCACUUUAGUUCUCUCAAAUCAAAAGCAUUUACCAAAAACAAUACGAAAUCUCCAAGUAGUUAAUCCUGCUAAGGCAUUAACAUAUGAAAUAGGGGUUGGUAAUUCUACUUUCUCAUCACUACUCUCUUUUUCGAACAUCAACCUUUCUUUCAAACAAGUUGCAUUUUAAGGCAUAUCCUCUAUGUUUGCAACCACGAGAAUUCAAGAUAAGCUAAGAGAGUAUGAUGUAAACAAAUCAAUGCAUAAUGAAUUGAAAACCCAAAGUAAUAGAUUGUAUGCUACAAGGCUUCCAUAACCCUAACUAAUAAACUUAGCUACUCAUGAAUAAAACAGAAAUCACAAUAGAAAUAUUCAUCAUACCAAAAACUAGAAGACGAUCUUGGUGUGCGAAUAGUGAAAAUAAGAGAGAAGAAACAUUUUCUCUCUCUCUCCUAAAGCUAAGACGUCACUCUCCUUUUAAAAACUAAUACAGAAUAAUUCAAUAAUGAAUAAAAAUUCAGCAUUAAGCCUUUUGAUAAUCUUUUUCUCUCAUAAUUGCCUUCUAAGUCCCUGAACUAAUUAUAAAUGACAAACUAGUCUUGGACAUAGUUUCUAGGUGUCACAUUUGGUCCAGACUGCUACUCUCUCUUGUGUCAUAUGCCAUCCGCGUUCCAUAGUCCUAUUAUGUCUUCAUCUACCUCAUUAAUACCUAAAAUCAUGCUAAUCACAUCGGUUAGCUCAAUUACAUAGAAGUAGAGUAAAAAAUAAGAAACUAGGCAUUUUGUUCUCUAAACUUAGAUAAAACAUGGAUAAGUUAUGGUGCUUAGGCGUAUAAACACACCAUAGAUCACUCCACAUCGCGGAGAGGUCCAAUUUCCAAUUUGGCAAUUUCCAGUAAACCAACGCAAUUUGGCCACAUUGCGUUGGUGGCCUAAAUGGCAUUUCUAUAGAGCACCGCGAUGGUGGCUUAUCGCGGAUAUCUUCCAAUUCCCACUCGUCAUUUUCCAGUGAGCCACUGCGAUAGUGGCGCGUCGCGAUGGUCUGCCAAUUCAAAAAAAAUAUUGCUUUUUCCCAGUUUCGAUUGAAGUUUAAAAGGGGUAGUUUGGUUAAUUCCCAAGCCCCCAAUUCAUGUAAAACACAAGGUUUAGCCCAUUCUUAAGUACUUUAUACAGUUUUCAUCCAUUCUCUUCAAAAGAAAAUCCCUAGAGCUCCAAAGCUUCUUCUCCAAGAAAUCUAAUUCCUCCAUUGUUUCUCCAAGAAGCUCAAAAUUAAGGAUUCUCAAGACAAUAUAAUCAAGAACUCAUCUUCAAGAACUCAAGUAGGAAUUAAAAAUUUAAGUUUCUUCAUCUAAUCAUCUACCAAGGUAUGUGGUGUUCAUGAACAAGGAUCCUCUUUCAUCCUUGUGCCCAAAACCAAGUUUUUAUUUCAAAUUUACAUGAUUUUGAAUGAUUAUACAUGAGUUUUAAAUUAGGGUUCAUAACCAAUGUUUCUAUUUGCAAAGAUUAUGAGAUUUCAAAGGAUUUAUUAGAUGAAUUGCAUGUUUAUUUUCAUAUCUUCAUGCCUAUUGCAGUAAAUUUCAGAUUUUGAGAUGAAUUAUCAUUGUUUUCAUUACCAAGCAUGAUUAUUAUGAUGUUUUGACAGGAGAUUGAAGCAUGGGUUACUAAGCCCAGGAUUAUAUGUUGGUAUUUUAAGAAAGAUAAUGCUUUAAACAUCCUAUGAUCAGAUUAUUUACAACUUUCAACAAUGUUUCGAUCUUUUGAUCUUCAGAUAAGAUUUGGAAUCCUCUUUACAGAUUUAUUACCGACUACAAAAUUCAAAAAAUCUUUAUUUAUAGAUUUAAUCAAAUAAAUGCAAAAUUAGUUUCAGAAUAAAACCUUAUGCCAGUUUUUAAAGUGGAUUUUCAAUAGAAUGAGCAUACAAAUUUAAAAGGGAGUAGUAUUUAGCACUGAACGAAAAGUAUGGGAUUAUCAUUCCCUAUCUUCCACAGAACUACGUAGCCAAUGUAGGUAAAUAUUAUAAGAUUAUUCCCAUUCCAAUAUGGAUGACAGUUAUAGAUGUGAUCACUUAGCUCAGGUUAUACUCCUUGGCAAGAGUAUGACACCUCUUUCUAUCGUGAGAUUUUUCCCUUAGGGGAAUGAGAUGUUGGACUCAAUGUUAGCUUACAUGGUUUAUGUAGGUAUAAAGAAGCUCCCUAAAAGAAAAAUACUAUAGAAAAGAAUAACAGAAAAACUUUUAGAAAACUAAGUGUAAAGGCUCACAACUUUACUUAGAUGAUGCUUUACAGAAAGAUAAGAUUUAUAGAUUUUAACUUUCAGACAUAGAAGUGAGUCCUUUCUGCACUCUAACAGUUGAUUUAAAGCCAGAGUAUUAGUAUACCUUUCAGAAUUAAAUGUUAUGCCUUACUAGAUUUACAAAGUAUGAUUUGCUAUUCAUGAUUUAAGUAUUUCUGAUAUUCUAGCUUAUGUAAGUCAUUUACAUUUAGCAUGCAUUCUUUUGCAAAUUGAUAUAAAUGUUAAGAUUAUGUUUUACUUAUGCAUUCACCCCCAUAUACUCAGUACAUCCUUAAAGUACUUAUCCACAUAUAUGUAUAUGUGCUACAUUGUCUCAUAAUGUAGGUUUAGGUGCUCAGUAUCAUCCACAUGAGUAGUUCGAGCAUCUCCAUCUACAUCCGACAGUUGGUGAGUCCUCAUAGUUCGGGGACUUAGUUAUUCAAUUUAUUUUUAGCUUAUCAGAUUAGAUGACUCAGUAUUCUUUUUUAGACAGUUCGAGUCAGCAGGGGGUUUGUCCUAGUGACUCUCUAGUUCUUAGUAGUAGAGACUUGUUAGACUGCUAGAUAUUAUUUAGACUUACAAUAUUAAUUUUUAGAUAUUACAUUCAGUUAUUCUCAGCUAUCUUAGAUAGUUUUCUGUAUUUACUAUGAAUUUUAUGUCGAUAUUUUCUUUAUUAUGAGAUUCAGAUUUAGUAGAAGGCAAACAGGGUUAGUUUAAGGCUACUCAUAGUCUUGAGCACCGUAUGACAUCUAAGGAUCAAAUUUCGGAUACUCCAUAUGCUAAGUGUGGAAAGAAUCAUCCUGGUGAGUAUUUGGCUAGAUAGAAAGGCUGUUAAGGUUGUGGUAAGUUGUGAGAGCAACUCAGAGUCAUCAAAAAUCUUAUGCAAACAUAUGAAGAAGAGAUCUUGAGUUCGAGGUUGAUGACCUUGUGUAUUUGAAAGUUUCACCUAUGAAAGAGGUGAAGAGAUUUGGCAAGAAGAGGAAGCUUAGUCCCCGAUAUGUAGUCCUCUUCCGAAUUUUGAGUCGUGUUAGGAAGGUGGCGUAUGAGCUUGAGCUACUUACAGAUAUAUUCUCAGUUUAUCCAGUAUUCCAUAUGUCCUUGUUGAAAAUGUGCAUGGAUGAUUCAGCCAUUAUAGUUCUUCUAGAAAGUACAGAUAUUUAGAAUAGCCUCUCAUAUGAAGAGGUUCCAGUAGAGAUUUAUGAUCAUCAGAUCAGUAGACUAAGGAACAAAGAAGUUCCCUUGGUUAAAGUUCUAUGGCGAAAUCAGUCCGUUAAGGGUGCUACUUAGGAAACAUAAGCAGACAUGCCUACCAAGUAUCCUCAUCUCUUCUCUAUGAACUCAGAUUCAGCCAAAGGUAAUAGUCUUCCUUCAUUCAGCUCUUUUCCAGUCUCAGAUUCAGCCAUAUAGUUAUUUUCAUGUAAAUUCAUGCACUCGCAGAUCAGUUCAAUAGCUCAGUAUGUUUUAGAUUCAGUUGUUCAUGAUAACUUAUAGCCCCAGAUUCCUCAGUAUUUUCAGCUUAACAAGACAUAUUCGAGGAUGAAUGUUCCUAAGGAGGAGAUAUUGAAAUACUUCGUACUUUUUCUAGCUUAAUUUCACUCCUAGAAAGUCAAGGGCUAAAUUCAAAAAUAAAUAACUUUUGUCACAUGUGGCUUUUUCCAGAUUUAGAUCCUCCAUUGUGUAGAAAAUUGAAUAAUAUUUCCAUCGAUACCAAAUUUACCUAAAUUUGAUACGCGGUUGAGAAGUUAUGGUGAUUUUAGUGAAGCAGUGUGUCACCGUGGCACUCACCGCAUCACGGAGAUGGUUAAAAUCCAAAUCGUCAAAUUCCAGUGGACCUCCGUGAUUGCUCCACAUCGUGGAGAGGUCCAAUUUCUAAUUUGACAAUUUCCAGUAGGCCAAUGCGAUUGGACCGCGUUGCAUUGGUGGCCUAAAUGACAUUUUUAUAGAGCACAACACUGGUGGCAUGUCGCGAAGAUUUUCUAGUUCCUACUCAUCAUUUUUCAGUAAGUGUCAUGUCCCAUUUUUCUUGUGGAAAGUGGGAUUUGACGUGACCACUCUUUUUGGGAUUGUUUUGAGGUAGAGUAUGAAGAGUCGCCACCCAAUGAAUUAAGGUGCGUUAGGGCACCGGUCUAGGCUACUACGAAUCUAUUUUGUUGUUUUGUCUUAGUUUACCAGAGAUUCGGGUAAGGGUUCAAAUUACCUCGAAAGAAAGGUGUUAGGCACCUAUCAAGGUCCACAAAGGUGGUUCCCGGCCGAAUUCGUAUUUUACGUGAGGAUUCUAUGUGAUCAAAUAAGGUCUCAUGUUUUAUUAACUUAAAUGUUAAUUAAGUGAUAAAGUAAUUAAUAAGCAAACAUAUGUAUUUCAUCAUUUUUAAUUAUUAAUUAUCUAAGUGAUAAAAAUCAGUAAAACAUAUAGUAAGACAAGCAAGGAGAAAGAAGGAAAAACAAUUUAUAACAAAAUGUUUUAUAUUAAAUUAAGAAACAUAAACUAUCCUUUGAAUAAAAUUGUUUGAGGAAAAUGUUUGUCGCUUUUAUAGGAAAGAUGUCACGAUAUUACUUAUCGAGCUCUUUUACCUUAGCAACAAUUUGAUUGGAGGUCGGUCUUAAGUAAAAAUAAUAAUAAUAUAAUUUUCGAAGACAAGGGAAAAUUUGAGUUUUGAAAUAUAAACACAAAAAUAUUUACAUAUGUAUAGAUACACAUAAUCUUCAUGUUUUUAAAAACGUUGGUGAGUGGUACUUUCGGGAACGCAAUGGCUUAGUACAUUGGAAUUAAACCUCUUAAUUCCUUUUACUUUUCCACUAACUAUAGGCUAGGAGAUAAUAUUUGUAUAAAGAGGAGUAAAAUGUCAUGUCUAGUCUAAAUUAUGAAGUCAUGGACCGCAUAAUGAUUUUGACAGGGAAAUAAAAAGUCAUUUUUUGGUUUUAGUGUGCAGAUGCUGAAAAUUGUUUCACUAUGUUGAAAUUAAUAAAACAUACGAAAAGACAAUUAGGAAUGCUGAAAAUUAAUUAGACUAUGUGCUAAAAAUAUUAUUUUAGAAUGUUGAAAAUUAAAAUAUAAUUGUUGAAAAUAUGCUGAAAAUGAUAUUAAAUUGCUGGAAAUUGUUGAAAAUAAGCUGAAAAUGAUGUUUCAUCACUGAAAAUUAUUUUAGGAUGCUAAAACAAACUGAUCCUUUUAUUUAGCCAAAAAAUUGUGUCAAGGGCACUGAAAACUGAAAAUUAAUAAAUGUGCUGAAAUAUUGUAAGAAAGAAGAAGAUUGUCGAAAUAUAUGUUAUUUUAAUAUUGAGACUGAUUUAAUAUGGCCAAAAUAGUCACACGUAGGAUACAAAAAUUAUUUACAAUGUUAGAAGAUAAAAUAUGUCGCGAUCAUAUUUUUAGUCGAAAGUUGGUUAAUGAUUCCUAUUGCAUGCUUUCUACAUGACAAGCAAUUUAAUUAACGAAUCCUAAAUUAUGUUUGCCUAAGAGAUGCACAUAGCACAUAAAUCACAUAAUCCCCGCCCCCACUCCCAUAAUUUCACCAGUGUUAUAGAGUUUAUACAAUAAUUAUUACAAACUACAUAAAUGAAUUUAAAAGACAGGCUAAGUGGGAUAGUCCUUAAACCAAUCCCUUAGCAACUCUUUAGGUUCCUCAAAUUAUUUUGUUUCUCAUCCAACCUGCUAAGCAUAAGACAACAACCAAAACCAACCCAAAAAUACAAAUGUAACUUUGGUAGCCCAUAACCAACCAUUGGCGCUGUCGAGAUCCUAAGGAUCUCAAGAAUCCCAAGCAGGCUCGCGCCAACGGGGUUAUGAGAUACACAAAGAUUAUUUCGUAACAACACUACAACAAUGGGGAAACACUCACUUACAAAUAAGGAAGAAAACAUAUCACAUCAACAAAAGCAAAUACUUGAACACAACAAGUCAUAAAGAUGCAUGGAACAAAUAGAAGGCUUAUGACGACGAGCAUUUUAAGUAAUCAAAAAGAACAUACUCAUAUAAAAUGAUAUAAAAGAAGACAAUGCAUGGCUAGAGAAAACUAACCAGUCAAUAACACAAUGACUAAUGAAAUUGAACUUUUCAAAGUAGAUGAAUAAUUGUAACAACAAGCAAGAACCAACCGUCUCUCAAAGUAGCAGCAAGCAAAAUUUAACACUCAGAUGUAGUGUAAUAGAGUGUAGAAGUCUAUGAGUUUUCGUAUAGGGAGUAGGAGACGAUGAUAA
rnacentral:lncRNA from 1 species